rnacentral:rRNA from 1 species
CCUACGGGAGGCAGCAGUGGGGAAUAUUGGGCAAUGGAGGAAACUCUGACCCAGCGACGCCGCGUGCGGGAUGAAGGCCUUCGGGUUGUAAACCGCUUUCAGUAGGGAAGAAGCGAAAGUGACGGUACCUACAGAAGAAGCACCGGCUAACUAUGUGCCAGCAGCCGCGGUAAUACAUAGGGUGCAAGCGUUGUCCGGAAUUAUUGGGCGUAAAGAGCUCGUAGGUGGUUCGUCACGUCGGAUGUGAAAAUCUGGGGCUCAACCCCAGACCUGCAUUCGAUACGGGCGAUCUAGAGUGUGGUAGGGGAGACUGGAAUUCCUGGUGUAGCGGUGGAAUGCGCAGAUAUCAGGAGGAACACCAAUGGCGAAGGCAGGUCUCUGGGCCAUUACUGACACUGAGGAGCGAAAGCGUGGGGAGCGAACAGGAUUAGAUACCCUGGUAGUCCACGCCGUAAACGGUGGGCACUAGUUGUGGGAACCUUCCACGGUUUCUGCGACGCAGCUAACGCAUUAAGUGCCCGCCUGGGGAGUACGAUCGCAAGNUUAAACUCAAAGGAAUUGACGG